CGGGAAGGCUCCACCCUCCCAUUCCACAGAGGAUGGGAAUUCUGGCUUCUUCAGGGUUUUCUUCCUGCUACGUGGGCUGUGUUCAUUUCCUGCAGGGUCAGCUACGUAUUUGUCUGCCUCUCUUUCCUUUCUGUCGUGGAUUUUCUGAAACACAGGCACGGACAACCCGGGAUCACUGGGUAUUUUGAAGAAUGAGGCAAAAGAAACGUCAGUUGGGGCACGGAGGGGACUGGUCAAUGCCAGAAAGAGGACCUCGGGGACACCUUUGCUCGGGGACAUCAACCGUCACACAGGCUGCUGGGGGUCUCCCUGUUCAUUCCAUAAAUAUCAAUCUGCAGGCACAGCAUCCUCAACGGCCCAUUUAAGUUCUUUACGGAACAGCUGCCCCCUUCUUGUCUGGCUGGGAGAGAUCGAAGUCUGACUGGUGGGAGUUCUGUGUCCCCGGGCGAGGGCAGGUUGGGGAUGGAGACAAGUCUGUGAGGAGCCGGGCUCAGCCCCCUCCCCAGUCCACGCUGCCCUGCCUGAGGCCGCGCCUGCUUGCCGGGGGCUCCGCACUGAUUCCCUUUUGCUGUCUUGAUGCCAUGCGAGGCGAGGAGAGAAGCCUGGUGCCCGAGCCCAGCUGUCUUAGUCAGCUUCCUCCUGGUCUCAGCUGUGCAUCCAGAAGUCCUAGGGAGCGUUUUUGUUUCUCGCUAAGGCCAGAGGAACUUCUGCCUGCACUCAGGAGAGGUGGGAGCAAACAGGAAGCAUGCACCGGGCAGAAGAAGGAGCAGGAGCUGGGGCCCAGCUGUGGCAGGACACCCACACGUGCCUACGGGAUGCUUCCAGGUCCCCUUCCAGACAAGCAGAAGCCCAGGACACAUGGCUGCAGCUCGACCAGCGCGUGGGGUGGGUGCUGUGAAGCCAAGUGGGGGCCCAAGGUAGGGGGUCCCUUGUGAAAAGCCAGGCGGGCAUCUCUCCAGGUGUGAGUGUGUGACAGGGUCGGGUCAGAGGCAAUGACCAGGGUAGGAUCACAAGGCAGGCACAGGGGUGAUAGCCACUCACCCGAGAAUGCUAUCAGAAAUAAUCACGGCGAUUAGGACGAUGUGUUAAUUCAACACACAGCUUUGAGUGUCUGCUACAUGCUGGAAACAGACAGUUCUACGUGCUGGAGAUAGAGCAGGGAGAAGACCUUUGUGAAGCGGCCAGAACU
rnacentral:lncRNA from 1 species